rnacentral:snRNA from 1 species
AUACUUAACCUGGCAGGGGCGAUUCCAUGGGGAGAGGUUUAUCCAUUGCUCUCUGGAUGGCCUAACCUCUGUGAUUUCCCCAAAUUCGGGAAACUCUGACUGCAUAAUUUGUGAUAGUGGGAGACUGCAUGGUCUAGCUCUCC